AAAACAGGUUUCAAAACCCUUUUCUCUCAAAAAUUUUCAACCUCUUUUCCCCUUCAGUCGACUGAACCAAAAGGUUCUUCACUCUUUGCCUCCACGUUAUCAAAUCGGACCCUCCUAAAUCCCCAUCAAGCUUCGAUUUCAACGAAUUCAACAAGGAUUCGAAGGCUCCUCAUGAAGAUAAGUAUUUUUGCUUCUGCUUAUUUUAUUUUUUACACACACAAAUAACAAAAAGCAAAGAACUCAAAGCAAAAUCUACAGAAAAAUGAGAUUUUAAAAUCACCUCUUGAACUGUUCCCGUUUUUCUAUUCAAACUUCUCUGUACAGAUUUGUAUCCCCCCCUUUACAUUGUUUACAAAUGGUCUUUUAUAGCCGAAAACCCCCAAAAAAUGAAAAGAAAUUGAGACUCUCAUCAUCCCUCUUUUCUGUUAUCUCUUUGUUGUUAAUUAUCCUUGCUGUUAUUUGCUGUAGUUAUUAGUUCGUUUUGCAGGUGUGUAUGGCGUGGAGUGAAGCUGUUUGUGGGCGUGCUGGCGUGGAGGAGGCAGUUGGAGGCUACAGCAACUGAAGCUUUUAGGGUGUGUAUGGCGUGGAGUGAAGCUGUUUGUGGGCGUGCUGGCGUGGAGGAGGCAGUUGGAGGCUACAGCAACUGAAGCUUUUAGGGUCUUCUACAUAUACUUUAAACCCUUUUUUCAUUAUUAUUCACCUGGUGGAUGGGUCAAUCUGUAGCUAGAAAGAAAUUUAUAGUAGUUAUAUUGUCAAAAUGGUUUUACAAGUAAAUGCUUGAAUUAGAACUCAACAUUUUAGAAGUUGCUCAUAUAA